GAUGAACGCUAGCGACAGGCUUAACACAUGCAAGUCGAGGGGCAGCGGGGGUAGCAAUACCCGCCGGCGACCGGCGCACGGGUGAGUAACGCGUAUGCAACUUACCUAUCAGAGGGGGAUAACCCGGCGAAAGUCGGACUAAUACCGCAUGAAGCAGGGAUCCCGCAUGGGAAUAUUUGCUAAAGAUUCAUCGCUGAUAGAUAGGCAUGCGUUCCAUUAGGCAGUUGGCGGGGUAACGGCCCACCAAACCGACGAUGGAUAGGGGUUCUGAGAGGAAGGUCCCCCACAUUGGUACUGAGACACGGACCAAACUCCUACGGGAGGCAGCAGUGAGGAAUAUUGGUCAAUGGCCGAGAGGCUGAACCAGCCAAGUCGCGUGAGGGAUGAAGGUUCUAUGGAUCGUAAACCUCUUUUAUAAGGGAAUAAAGUGCGGGACGUGUCCCGUUUUGUAUGUACCUUAUGAAUAAGGAUCGGCUAACUCCGUGCCAGCAGCCGCGGUAAUACGGAGGAUCCGAGCGUUAUCCGGAUUUAUUGGGUUUAAAGGGUGCGUAGGCGGCCUUUUAAGUCAGCGGUGAAAGUCUGUGGCUCAACCAUAGAAUUGCCGUUGAAACUGGGGGGCUUGAGUAUGUUUGAGGCAGGCGGAAUGCGUGGUGUAGCGGUGAAAUGCAUAGAUAUCACGCAGAACCCCGAUUGCGAAGGCAGCCUGCCAAGCCAUGACUGACGCUGAUGCACGAAAGCGUGGGGAUCAAACAGGAUUAGAUACCCUGGUAGUCCACGCAGUAAACGAUGAUCACUAGCUGUUUGCGAUACGCUGUAAGCGGCACAGCGAAAGCGUUAAGUGAUCCACCUGGGGAGUACGCCGGCAACGGUGAAACUCAAAGGAAUUGACGGGGGCCCGCACAAGCGGAGGAACAUGUGGUUUAAUUCGAUGAUACGCGAGGAACCUUACCCGGGUUUGAACGCAUUCGGACCGAGGUGGAAACACCUUUUCUAGCAAUAGCCGUUUGCGAGGUGCUGCAUGGUUGUCGUCAGCUCGUGCCGUGAGGUGUCGGCUUAAGUGCCAUAACGAGCGCAACCCUUGCCACUAGUUACUAACAGGUAAAGCUGAGGACUCUGGUGGGACUGCCAGCGUAAGCUGCGAGGAAGGCGGGGAUGACGUCAAAUCAGCACGGCCCUUACAUCCGGGGCGACACACGUGUUACAAUGGCGUGGACAAAGGGAAGCCACCUGGCGACAGGGAGCGAAUCCCCAAACCACGUCUCAGUUCGGAUCGGAGUCUGCAACCCGACUCCGUGAAGCUGGAUUCGCUAGUAAUCGCGCAUCAGCCAUGGCGCGGUGAAUACGUUCCCGGGCCU
rnacentral:rRNA from 1 species